rnacentral:rRNA from 1 species
AAUACAGAGGUCCCGAGCGUUGUUCGGAUUCACUGGGCGUAAAGGGUGCGUAGGUGGCGUGGUAAGUUUGAUGUGAAAGCUCAGGGCUUAACCCUGAAAUGGCAUUGAAUACUACUAUGCUGGAGGUUUGGAGGGGGGACUGGAAUUCUCGGUGUAGCAGUGAAAUGCGUAGAUAUCGAGAGGAACACCAGUGGCGAAGGCGAGUCCCUGGACAACACCUGACACUGAGGCACGAAAGCUAGGGGAGCAAACA